UGGGGAAUAUUGGACAAUGGGCGAAAGCCUGAUCCAGCCAUGCCGCGUGUGUGAAGAAGGUCUUCGGAUUGUAAAGCACUUUAAGUUGGGAGGAAGGGCAGUAAGCGAAUACCUUGCUGUUUUGACGUUACCGACAGAAUAAGCACCGGCUAACUCUGUGCCAGCAGCCGCGGUAAUACAGAGGGUGCAAGCGUUAAUCGGAAUUACUGGGCGUAAAGCGCGCGUAGGUGGUUCGUUAAGUUGAAUGUGAAAGCCCCGGGCUCAACCUGGGAACUGCAUCCAAAACUGGCGAGCUAGAGGAGGGCAGAGGGUGGUGGAAUUUCCUGUGUAGCGGUGAAAUGCGUAGAUAUAGGAAGGAACACCAGUGGCGACGGCGACCACCUGGGAUCAUACUGAAACUGAGGUGCGAAAGCGUGGGGAGCAAACAGG
rnacentral:rRNA from 1 species